ACCGAAUUGGCCAAACCAUUGAACACCAAAUUUAUAGAUAUUUCCUUUAACCAUCUGUGAAAUUUUAUGAUUUUAGGCUAUGUGGUUUGAGAUUUUUUUACUAUAGUUGUUGCCGUUUUCAUGUUGUUCUCGAUAGUAAUAGAUUGAUCCAGUUUUUGUCAAUGCUAAAUGUCAAACUAGUCUUUAUAAUGAAUACCAAAGUUGUAGUGUUUUUUAGUAUCUUUCCAAUGGUGUAUGAUUCAGUGUCAUAUCUGAAAUAUAAAUUUAUAUUUAUGCUUUUGAAUUGAGUUUGUGAUUUCUGAUGUCAAAUUCUGUGUUCGAUGUUACUACCUUAACUAGAACAUCUUGAUGAUUUUUACUGAAAGUAUCUAUAGAACAAACGUUCUAUAUAAGACAAUUUUACAUGAUAGAGGUAAAGUUUCAUAAUUGUUGGGCA
rnacentral:lncRNA from 1 species